UCUCCGUAGGUGAACCUGCGGAGGGAUCAUUACAGAGUUCAUGCCCUACCGGGUAGAUCUCCCACCCUAUGUUAUUAUUACUUUGUUGCUUUGGCGGGCCGUUGAGCUCCGGCCCGACUACCGGCCCCGGCUGGUAAGCGCCCGCCAGAGGACCCAAAACCCUGAAUAUUAGUGUCGUCUGAGUACUAUAUAAUAGUUAAAACUGUCAACAACGGAUCUCUUGGUUCUG
rnacentral:misc_RNA from 1 species